rnacentral:rRNA from 1 species
GAUGAACGCUAGCGGGAGGCUUAACACAUGCAAGUCGAGGGGCAGCAUAGGGUAGCAAUACUCUGAUGGCGACCGGCAAACGGGUGAGUAACGCGUAUGCAACCUACCCUGUACAGGGGGAUAACCCGGAGAAAUUCGGACUAAUAUCCCGUAAUAAUAUCCGGAGGCAUCUUUGGAUAUUUAAAGUUCCGACGGUACGGGAUGGGCAUGCGUAACAUUAGCUGGUUGGUAAGGUAACGGCUUACCAAGGCUAUGAUGUUUAGGGGUCCUGAGAGGGUGGUCCCCCACACUGGUACUGAGACACGGACCAGACUCCUACGGGAGGCAGCAGUGAGGAAUAUUGGUCAAUGGGCGCAAGCCUGAACCAGCCAUCCCGCGUGCAGGAAGACGGCCCUAUGGGUUAGUAAACUGCUUUUCUAGGGAGAGAAACUUACGCACGUGUUGCGUGACUGACGGUACCCUGGGAAUAAGCAUCGGCUAACUCCGUG